ACAGGGUCUCUCUUUGUUGCCUAGGCUGGAGUGCAGUGGAACGAACUUGGCUUAUUGAAGCAUUGACCACCUGGACCCAAGUGAUUCUCCUACCUUAGCCUCUUGAAUAGCUGUGACAACAGGUGUGCACUACCACACCCAGAUAAAUUUUGUAAUUUUUAUAGAGAGGGCAUUUGACCAUGUUGCCCAGGCUGGUCUCAAACUCCUGAGCUCAAGUGAUACUCCUGCCUCGGCCUCCCAAAGUGCUGGGAUUACAGAUGAAGAAAAUGAGGCACUGAGAGAUUACAUAACUUCCCUUGAGUCAUAUUUGCUUGUAAGUGGUAAGGCUGGAUGUUGAACCCAGGACAAAGGGGGAACGGGACACCCCUGUUACAGAUGAGGAGGCUGAGGAUCAGAGAUGAGCUUGCUCAAGGUCGCUUAGCUA
rnacentral:lncRNA from 1 species